GCCAUUCCUGCAUGAAGAAGCAAGAGGAAGGUGGUUGAACUUGCAAAUAGCCUACCAAUAAGCACAUUGUUUUUCAAUUUAUUAAGUGUGGAGUCAAAUGAGGGGACUAUUUUCUCGAAGCCAAAGAAGACUGUUGCUGACCAUAGGUGAUGGGCAGUGGGCUGACUGAGAGGAGUCUGGCAGUAACCCACCUAUCAGAGGCAGAGGAUCUCUUUUGGCAGCUGCCGACAACAACUGCAUACAAAUUGCUCUUCUACAUCAUAGAACCAGCCAGGCAACAACCCAUACUGUACUGUUCCAUAAAGAAGUUGUUAAGAAGAUUGACAUGAGCCACCAUUCAAACAAAGAGAUGCCGCCCUGGCCACCAGUGCAUAUUUCCAAACUAUGUUUGCAUAUAAUGACAAUAACAUCUCAAAACUA